AUUGAACGCUGGCGGCAGGCCUAACACAUGCAAGUCGAACGAGUGGCGGACGGGUGAGUAAUGUCUGGGAAACUGCCUGAUGGAUGGGGAUAACUACUGGAAACGGUAGCCAAUACCGCCUAACAUCGGUUUUGCCCAGAUGGGAUUAGCUUGUUGGUGGGGUAACGGCUCACCAGGGCGACGAUCCCUAGCUGGUCUGAGAGGAUGACCAGCCACACGGGAACUGGACAACGGUCCAGACGCCUACGGGAGGCAGCAGUGGGGAUUAUUGCACAAUGGGCGAAAGCCUGAUGCAGCCAGGCCGCGUGUGUGAAGAAGGCCUUCGGGUUGUAAAGUACUUUCAGCGGGGAGGCGUUACCCGCAGAAGAAGCACCGGCUAACUCCGUGCCAGCCGCCGCGGUAAUUC
rnacentral:rRNA from 1 species